AGUGAACGCUGGCGGUAGGCCUAACACAUGCAAGUCGAACGGCAGCACAGUAAGAGCUUGCUCUUACGGGUGGCGAGUGGCGGACGGGUGAGGAAUACAUCGGAAUCUACUUUUUCUUGGGGGAUAACGUGGGGAAACUUACGCUACUACCGAAUACGACCUACGGGUGAAAUCAGGGGAUCUUGGGGCUUUGGCCGAUUGAUUUAGCCGAUGUCGGAUUAGAUAGUUGGGGGGGUAAAGGCCCACCAAGGCGAGGCUCCGUAGCUGGUCUGAGAGGAUGAUCAGCCAAACUGGAACUGAGAAACGGUCCAGACUCCUAAGGGAGGCAGCAGUGGGGAAUAUUGGACAAUGGGCGCAAGCCUGAUCCAGCCAUUCCGCGUGGGUGAAGAAGGCCUUCGGGUUGUAAAGCCCUUUUGUUGGGAAAGAAAAGCAGCAGGUUAAUACCCCGCUGUUCUGACGGUACCCAAAGAAUAAGCACCGGCUAACUUCGUG
rnacentral:rRNA from 1 species